CGCCGGCGACCGGCGCACGGGUGAGUAACACGUAUGCGACCUGCCCCCGCAGGGGGAUAACCGGGAGAAAUCCCGACUAAUACCGCGUAACGCCGCGGACCUGCAUGGGUCUGCGGCCAAAGGAAGCGAUUCCGGCGGGGGAUGGGCAUGCGGCGCAUUAGCUAGUCGGCGGGGUAACGGCCCACCGAGGCGACGAUGCGUAGGGGUUCUGAGAGGAAGGUCCCCCACACUGGUACUGAGACACGGACCAGACUCCUACGGGAGGCAGCAG
rnacentral:rRNA from 1 species